CACGCCCCAGUCCCUUCGUUCUUCCCAAUUUUAUUUCCUCAUGGAGUCCACGACCGCCGUCGCCCACAGACCCCUCUCAUCACACGGGAUCCCAAUACCGCACGUCGGACGAAGCGCAUGUGAGGUUGGAAUGCAAAACUCUGAAUCCCAUUACAAUUCUCAAGGUUUAUGGCUUCUGAAAUUUGCCCUAAGGAUGCAGCAAACUCGAUUUCCCAAGAGGUUGGAACUCAAAACUCUGAAGCCAUUAGCCCUCCCUCGGAUGUAUUGGGCCCAAAGACCAAAUCACCGGAACCAUCACAAUGUUUUUUAUGCAGAUAUUUGGUGAACUAGAUUAUGUGUCUUCACCGCUGUGUUGGAUAAGUAUCGUGGUGUCAUCUUUUGACUCAAAUAUGUGCAAGGGGUACAAAAAUGCUUUUUCUGAUUAUAUGCCAAUUGAUCAGUACUA